UGCCAGCAGCCGCGGUAAUACGAAGGUGGCAAGCGUUGUUCGGAUUCAUUGGGCGUAAAGAGUUCGUAGGCGGUUUGGAAAGUCGGAUGUGAAAUCCUGCAGCUCAACUGCAGAACUGCAUUCGAAACUUCUAGACUGGAGUGCGAGAGGGGUAAAGGGAAUUCCCUGUGUAGAGGUGAAAUUCGCAGAUAUAGGGAAGAACACCAGUAGCGAAGGCGCUUUACUGGCUCGCAACUGACGCUGAGGGACGAAAGCUAGGGUAGCAAACGGGAUUAGAUA
rnacentral:rRNA from 1 species